UACGUAGGGUGCGAGCGUUGUCCGGAAUUAUUGGGCGUAAAGAGCUCGUAGGCGGUCUGUUGCGUCGGCUGUGAAAACCCGGGGCUCAACUCCGGGCCUGCAGCCGAUACGGGCAGACUAGAGUUCGGCAGGGGAGACUGGAAUUCCUGGUGUAGCGGUGAAAUGCGCAGAUAUCAGGAGGAACACCGGUGGCGAAGGCGGGUCUCUGGACAGUUCCUGACACUGAGACACGAAGGCCAGGGGAGGCAAAACGGG
rnacentral:rRNA from 1 species